rnacentral:rRNA from 1 species
CGAGAGGACCGGGAUGGACAUACCUCUGGUGUACCAGUUGUCGUGCCAACGGCAUAGCUGGGUAGCUAUGUAUGGACGGGAUAAGUGCUGAAAGCAUCUAAGCAUGAAGCCCCCCUCAAGAUGAGAUUUCCCAACUUCGGUUAUAAGAUCCCUCGAAGAUGACGAGGUUAAUAGGUUCGAGGUGGAAGCGUGGUGACACGUGGAGCUGACGAAUACUAAUCGAUCGAAGACUUAAUCAAAUU